GAUGAACGCUGGCGGCGUGCUUAACACAUGCAAGUCGAACGAGAGAAGAUCGGUGCUUGCACUGAUCCGAUCGAGUGGCGGACGGGUGAGUAACGCGUGGGUAACCUGCCUCACACAGGGGAAUAACAGUUGGAAACGGCUGCGAAAACCGCAUAAGCGCACAGUAUCCCAUGAUACAGUGUGAAAAACUCCGGUGGUAUGAGAUGGACCCGCGUCUGAUUAGCUGGUUGGUGAGGUAACGGCCCACCAAAGCAACGAUCCGUAGCCGGCCUGAGAGGGUGCACGGCCACAUUGGGACUGAGACACGGCCCAAACUCCUACGGGAGGCAGCAGUGGGGAAUAUUGCACAAUGGGGGAAACCCUGAUGCAGCGACGCCGCGUGAGUGAUGAAGUAUUUCGGUAUGUAAAGCUCUAUCAGCAGGGAAGAUAAUGACGGUACCUGACUAAGAAGCACCGGCUAAAUACGUGCCAGCAGCCGCAGUAA
rnacentral:rRNA from 1 species